rnacentral:rRNA from 1 species
UACAGAGGGUGCGAGCGUUAAUCGGAUUUACUGGGCGUAAAGGGCGCGUAGGCGGUUAUGUGAGUGUGAUGUGAAAGCCCCGGGCUCAACCUGGGAAGUGCAUCGCAAACGACAUAACUGGAGUAUAUGAGAGGGUGGCGGAAUUUCCGGUGUAGCGGUGAAAUGCGUAGAGAUCGGAAGGAACGUCGAUGGCGAAGGCAGCCACCUGGCAUAAUACUGACGCUGAGGCGCGAAAGCGUGGGGAGCGAACAGG